AGAGAGAACUUCUCCUAGGAGGUGGCAGCGAGUCCACUAUGCGGAGACGCAAUUUACAGACAAAAGCUGGGAUGACAUCUGCUGCAGAAAGCAUCACUGAGAGCCUUCGUCGCACUCGUCAAUUGAUGGCUCAGGAGUUGGAAAGAAGUGCUAGUACAUUAAUGACUUUUGCUAUGUUACUUCUUCCUAAGAGUUGUUUUUUACUUCCGUUGUUUCUUGCCUUACAUUAUUUCUUAUCUUUCUAGAUUUCGCUU